rnacentral:tRNA from 1 species
AUUUAUAUAGUUUACUUAAAACAUUACACUUUCACCGUAAAGAUGAGCUUAGCUCUAUAAAUA